rnacentral:rRNA from 1 species
GACGGAGGGUGCUAGCGUUGUUCGGAAUUACUGGGCGUAAAGGGCGCGUAGGCGGCCUUCUCAGUCGGGUGUGAAAGCCCGGGGCUCAACCCCGGAACGGCACCCGAGACGGGUUGGCUGGAGACCGGGAGAGGAGGGUGGAAUAGCCAGUGUAGAGGUGAAAUUCGUAGAUAUUGGCUGGAACACCGGUGGCGAAAGCGGCUCUCUGGCCCGGUUCUGACGCUGAGGCGCGAAAGCGUGGGGAGCGAACAGG